CAAGGAAUUUUCCGCAAUGGGCGAAAGCCUGACGGAGCAACGCCGCGUGCGGGAUGACGCUUUUCGGAGUGUAAACCGCUUUUCUCAGGGAAGAUGAAGGACGGUACCUGAGGAAUAAGGCCCGGCUAACUACGUGCCAGCAGCCGCGGUAAUACGUAGGGGCCGAGCGUUGUCCGGAGUUAUUGGGCGUAAAGCGCGCGCAGGCGGCUUUGCGCGCCCGACGUGAAAGCCCCCGGCUUAACCGGGGAGAGUCGUCGGGGACGGCAAAGCUUGAGGGCGGGAGAGGGUGGUGGAAUUCCCGGUGUAGUGGUGAAAUGCGUAGAGAUCGGGAGGAACACCUGUGGCGAAGGCGGCCACCUGGGCCGACCCUGACGCUGAGGCGCGAAGGCGUGGGGAGCGAACG
rnacentral:rRNA from 1 species